UACGUAGGGAGCAAGCGUUGUCCGGAAUCAUUGGGCGUAAAGCGCGCGUAGGUGGCCUCGUAAGUCCGCUGUAAAAGUCAAAGGCUCAACCUUUGAAAGCCGGUGGAUACUGCGGGGCUAGAGUACGGAAGAGGCGAGUGGAAUUCCUGGUGUAGCGGUGGAAUGCGCAGAUAUCAGGAGGAACACCAAUAGCGAAGGCAGCUCGCUGGGACAUUACUGACACUGAGGCGCGAAAGCGUGGGGAGCGAACAGG
rnacentral:rRNA from 1 species